CCGGUAAUGUCUCGCUGAGUCGUACUCGGUUGCAAGUAUCUGAAUGGCACUUUAAGGCCCGUUCACACACUUGCAACCGAGUCCGACCGAACGAGGCAA
rnacentral:pre_miRNA from 1 species